UACGGAGGGUGCAAGCGUUAUCCGGAUUUACUGGGUGUAAAGGGAGCGCAGGCGGUAUGGCAAGUCAGAUGUGAAAACCCAGGGCCCAACCCUGGGACUGCAUUUGAAACUGCCAUACUGGAGUGCCGGAGAGGUAAGUGGAAUUCCUAGUGUAGCGGUGAAAUGCGUAGAUAUUAGGAAGAACACCAGUGGCGAAGGCGGCUUGCUGGACAGUAACUGACGUUGAGGCUCGAAAGCGUGGGGAGCAAACAGG
rnacentral:rRNA from 1 species